AUAUUGAAUGUAUUAGUUUUGAGGCCCUUUUGUGCGCCUUUAUAAACAAAUAUACAACUUUCAACAAUGGAUCUCUUGGCUCUUGCAUCGAUGAAGAACGCAGCGAAAUGCGAUAAGUAAUGUGAAUUGCAGAAUUCAGUGAAUCAUCGAAUCUUUGAACGCAUCUUGCGCUCCUUGGUAUUCCGAGGAGCAUGCCUGUUUGAGUGUCAUUAA
rnacentral:rRNA from 1 species